rnacentral:rRNA from 1 species
UACAGGGGGUGCAAACGUUGCUCGGAAUCAUUGGGCGUAAAGCGCACGUAGGCGGUUCGUUAUGUCGGAUGUGAAAGCCCUUGGCUUAACCGAGGAAGUGCAUCCGAAACUGGCGAGCUAGAGUACGAAAGAGGAUCGCGGAAUUCCCGGUGUAGAGGUGAAAUUCGUAGAUAUCGGGAGGAACACCGGUGGCGAAGACGGCGAUCUGGGUCGAUACUGACGCUGAGGUGCGAAAGCGUGGGGGAGCAAACAGG